rnacentral:lncRNA from 1 species
GCAUCUCAAAGAAUUUCUCAGUUGCUUUUCUGUCAUCCCUGAGUCCAAAUUACAACUGUCAAUUAUACAUGAAAGGUCUUGGCCCUUGGCAUAUGAGAGUACUGAUCAUCAAAUAUUACAUCCCACUCAAAAUGCUGUCUUGAGAAAUUGUUACGGGCGAGUUGCAUUACAGAAUGUGGCUUAAGUGAUGGUCAUAAAUAGCAGCAGAGACAGGUUGGGGCAGAUAUUCCACUGAUACAAACUCUUAGAUCCCUGCUGGAAUCAGUGCAUCAAUGGGAUGGUGGCAGCCUGUACCAAGCAGAGGUCUGCCACAGCAUCUGCAGAAAGAUGAGAGAGAUGCCAUGCAGAAAAACAAACCCCACCGAAGUUCUGGAGGGGUAGGAAUCAUGAGACUCACGGGAUUAUCUCAGAAGACGUCAGUAGCUGGAGUGAUCUAUUGUCUGGAACAGCAGUGCUCAUCUCUUCACAAUUUCAUGAAGUCAAAAAGGAGUCUAUGGUGGAUCACCGUCAUCCUCACUGAGCUGAAGAGAGUGGCCUGGUUCCUUCAUGUUGCUUACAUCUCUCAUUCCUCUUCUAGUAUGUGAGGCCUUGUGAUUGAACUACAGGCUUGGGAGUCUGACAGUUUGCGUUGCACUCCCAAUUCUGCCACAAAUUUGUCAUGGCAGAAUGUAUGGCUUAGCUUAGAGAGGUUUUUUGCUCAUAAAUAUAUGAACAUUAUGAUGUGUGCAAUUGCAUACCUAAUUUAUGCACACAGACAUAACAGUGACCAUACACGUAAAUGAGAUAUUUGCAGAUGCAAAUAGCUGGUUAUGAAUAUAAUAGGCCAACAGAAACAUACAGUUGUGGUAAUUAUACCCACAAACUAUAUGAAUGCAUGAACAAGCACGUUAUGAAAAUCAGAGUGCUGGCUACGCUGUUCAUUUUUACCAUUUUUAAGAGAAGAAAAAUAAUAUUAAUAUUCCUAUAUAUUAUGAAGCUUGGCUUAUGAACAUUUGUAAUGAGCUUUAAGGCUAUUAAAUGGGAGGUGCUAGCAAUCUGCAAUGUUUUAUUUGUGUGUGGAAGGCUGAUUUACUUCACAAAUUGCUGCCUUUGAAUAAUCUUGAAAAUUUACAAAUUUUUGCAUGAUUCACACUUGUGGAACUUGGUAUCACAGGGCAGGUGAACCUGUGUGUAUGUGGGCUGCUCUUCCCCAGUCCCAAAAAGGAAGUGUGAAGAUAAGAUGAAGUUACUCCUUCAGUGCUUCUAAAACCUUCACCUAGCCGUGCUGUACUGUAGCGGGCAGGAUGCAACUGGAUUGGGAGGACAUUUGUUUGUUUUGUAGCUUCGCUAUGAUCCCUCAGGCGCUUCAUGUACAGCCUAGCCUGCAUGAUAAAGUAGCAACAGGGGAGAAAGUGAAGACAAACACAGGAUGUCAGAAAGAACUCUUUAAAGUAGAUGUUCAGAUGGCUGAAAAAUUGAACAUCCUGUUUGGGGUUUGUCUUUCAGGGAAGAGUUGAAAACAGGGAAGUGUUGAAAACACCCUGCCCAAGAAACAACAAAGCAGUGCCAAAUACUAAUUCUAGCUAACUGCACAUGGGAGAUCUGGGUACGUAAAGAGGGUGUUUUCUAAACAAAAAUGAUUUGUGAAGAAGUACUUCCAGAAGUACUUCCAUUCCUUCUGUCAGAUAGUCUGGGUAUUGCUUUGAGGGAAUGCAUAUUACUAGAGAGAAUGGUUUAGAAUCACUUAUAGCUCAGCCAUUUCCAGGUGGCUCGCUCCUUUCAAUGGUUGCAAUAGAGAGCUAGUUAUGUUUUUAUCAAAAGUACGUUCAGCGAUAUCAAAUUAUGAGCAAAUAUGAAAGCAAUUAUCCAGAAGAAAAUAACGUAGCUGAAAUAAAAGUAUUUGCUUAAUACCA